rnacentral:misc_RNA from 1 species
GAUGAAGAACGUAGCGAAAUGCGAUAAGUAAUGUGAAUUGCAGAAUUCAGUGAAUCAUCGAAUCUUUGAACGCACAUUGCGCCCCCUGGUAUUCCGGGGGGCAUGCCUGUUCGAGCGUCAUUUCACCACUCAAGCCUCGCUUGGUAUUGGGCAACGCGGUCCGCCGCGUGCCUCAAAUCGACCGGCUGGGUCUUCUGUCCCCUAAGCGUUGUGGAAACUUUCGCUAAAGGGUGUUCGGGAGGCUACGCCGUAAAACAACCCCAUUUCUAAGGUUGACCUCGGAUCAGGUAGGGAUACCCGCUGAACUUAAGCAUAUCAAUAAGCGGAUGA